rnacentral:lncRNA from 1 species
AUACUGGAAGAGUAUUCAGCACGGACUGGAAUCCUGCAUACAUAUCUGAGCUCUGUGUUCUGUAGAGAUGGGGUUUCACCAUGUUGCCCAGGCUGGUCUCAAACUCCUGAGCUCAGGCCAUCUGCCCGCCUCGGCCUCCCAAAGUGCUAGGAUUACAGAACAGGUUUCUCUUAUUGCCUGGAUCCAAGAGCAUCUCCUGGGUUCUUCCUGUUAGAAUACUGAAUGUCCAUGGAGAGUUUAACAUAAGGAAGAAGAGGCCUGUCUCCCAGCUGAAACUGGUGCAGCAGAUCAUGCAAAGUAAAACCUCAGCAGCUGUGAUGAAGUAGAGCAGAGGGCCUGGGUGUCUGUCAGCUCCAAGCGGAAGAUUUCCCCAGCUUUCUAGGUAACUGUGCUUCCACUGAGCAAGCCAGACACAGACUUGAAUGUCAUCACAAUCUGUGCCUGUGACAUCUUUCCCCAAGAAUAGCACAAAUUGAACUUUUACAUUCUUCAUAAUAUGGAAGGAAAGGUAUUGACUGAGCCACUUCUUUAUGCCUCAAGACAUCUCAUAUGUAUUUAUAUGGAUACAUACAUGAAUGUAUAUAUUCUGUCAUAAUAACAU